GACGAACGCUGGCGGCGCGCUUAACACAUGCAAGUCGAGCGAGAACCAGGGCUUCGGCCCUGGGGACAGCGGCGAACGUGUGAGUAACACGUGGGUAAUCUGCCCUCGGCACCGGAAUAGCCCGGGGAAACCCGGAUUAAUGCCGGAUGGCCCCUUCACCUCGCGAGGUGUCGGGAAAAGGUAGCUUCGGCCUCUGGCCGAGGAUGAGCCCGCGGCGGAUUAGCUUGUUGGCGGGGUAACGGCCCACCAAGGCGACGAUCCGUAGCUGGUCUGAGAGGACGAUCGGCCACACGGGGACGGAAACACGGCCCAGACGCCUACGGGAGGCAGCAGUGGGGAAUCUUGCGCAAUGGGCGAAAGCCUGACGCAGCGACGCCGCGUGAGGGAAGAAGGCCUUCGGGUUGUAAACCUCUUUCAGGAGGGACGAAGCUACUCGGGUGAAUAGCCCAGAGGGUGACGGUACCUCCAGAAGAAGCCCCGGCUAACUACGUGCCAGCCGCCGCGGUAA
rnacentral:rRNA from 1 species